AUUGAACGCUGGCGGCAGGCCUAACACAUGCAAGUCGAGCGGAGCGGCGGACGGGGGCGUAAUGCCUAGGAAUCUGCCUGGUAGCGGGGGAUAACGUUCGGAACUGGGCGCUAAUACCGCUUCCUAUCAGAUGAGUCUAGGUCGGAUUAGCUUGUGGGUGGGGUAAAGGCCUACCAAGGCGACGAUCCGUAACUGGUCGGAGAGGAUGAUCAGUCACACUGGAACUGAGACACGGUCCAGACUCCGACGGGAGGCAGCAGUGGGGAAUAUUGGACAAUGGGCGAAAGCCUGAUCCAGCCAUGCCGCGUGUGUGAAGAAGGUCUUCGGAUUGUAAAGCACUUUAAGUUGGGAGGCGUUACCAGCAGAAUAAGCACCGGCUAACUUCGUGCCAGCAGCCGCGGUAAUUC
rnacentral:rRNA from 1 species